ACCGGAUGGCCUCUCCGGCCUUCGGGUCGGUGAGAAAAGGUGGCUUCGGCUUCCGGCUGAGGAUGGGCCCGCAGCCGAUUAGCUUGUUGGUGGGGUAACGGCUCACCAAGGCUCCGAUCGGUAGCUGGUCUGAGAGGACGAUCAGCCACACUGGGACUGAGACACGGCCCAGACUCCUACGGGAGGCAGCAGUGGGGAAUCUUGCGCAAUGGGCGAAAGCCUGACGCAGCGACGCCGCGUGCGGGAAGAAGGCCUUCGGGUUGUAAACCGCUUUCGGGAGGGACGAAGCCACUCGGGUUAAUAGCCCAGAGGGUGACGGUACCUCCAGAAGAAGCCCCGGCUAACUACGUGCCAGCAGCCGCGGUAAUACGUAGGGGGCUAGCGUUGUCCGGAUUUAUUGGGCGUAAAGAGCGCGUAGGCGGCCGGCUAAGUCCGACGUGAAAUCUGGAGGCUCAACCUCCAGCGGUCGUUGGAAACUAGUCGGCUAGAGUCCGGAAGAGGAGAGUGGAAUUCCUGGUGUAGCGGUGAAAUGCGCAGAUAUCAGGAAGAACACCGAUGGCGAAAGCAGCUCUCUGGGACGGUACUGACGCUGAGGCGCG
rnacentral:rRNA from 1 species